rnacentral:lncRNA from 1 species
AGCAAGAAACUAGAAAGCACAUAAAAACCAGUACCAGAGGCCAAAAACACCAGCAGCCGCAACCAGAAAAAGACCAAACCAAUGCACACACCAACUUAUCCGAACCAAAACCAAACUAAUUCAUCUACAAAAAUAACAAAACAAUGCACUUUGAGAAGAACAUUAAAUAAUAAAAUUGUGAAGAAAUCAAUGAGUAAUAUUAUUAAGAGAAUUAACAAAAGCGAUAAGGUACAUAUCAACCGAGAAACUAACAAAUUUUGGGUUUGUUAUGGAGAAAUCACAGAGGAAGCCGCGAUUGAUAGACUUUACUUCCGUAAAUCAUUCACCUCAAUAAAUAGAACAUAGAGAAACAUAAAAUCAAACAUGAACUGAAAAGAAAUUGAGAGACUUUAGUUCUCUACUAUUGUUAACCUCAAUCCUCGAAUUAAUAUUUCAACGGAGGUAGAUAUAUUUAAGGGGGAAAUAGAGGAGACAAAAAUAGGAAUAAUGCUUCUUAGAUUCUUACCAACCACAGAGGCUCGAAGAACAUAGAAAGAUGAUGAGUGACAGAUCGGUGGACGAAGAACAAACGAGUCACGACACAAGAUCUGUGAAGAACGACGGAGAACAAAGGAAAUGAAAACAAGCAAAAUAGCAUCUAGCAAUAUAAAAGUUUCCAGAAAUAAUAGUAUACAAAACUUGAGAUGUGAGGCUCAAAUGAAAUCAAUGAACUUUGCUCAACGAGAGAACAACGAACCUGAGAUGAAAACAACCAACUCUGCUCAACGAGAGAAAGAAAGAGAUGGUUUGUCAUGAUAAGCUUUGUCAGAGAUUUAAAUAUUAGGGAUUGGAAUGAUGAAUUAGUUUAGGGGUUUGGAUUUGGAAGGAUUUAGGGAUUUAUGGU